GGGGGCGUACUGGUUUCGACCUGAUGGAUACGCUCGUGGUGGCAUGCCGAGGAUGGUUCGUUGGCCUCGUUAAUCACCGGACCAAAAAUCAAAUGCUAACGAAGAAUUAGCUCUCGCGGCCUAAGUUGCCGUGACGUUCGCCCGCCGACACCUGCUGGGUGGGAUGAACGCGACAGCAGGUUAGGUGAGACACGGGGUCUGCGCGUGUCGAUCCGAAGUAAAACAGCGGACUGAGCCGGGUGGAUCGCGUCGGAUCGUAACCAUUCGGCCGAGAAAAAACAUCCGACUAAGCAUGUAGUCAUUGCGCGCAAGUCGGUUAGGGACGCGGGUUCAACUCCCGCCGCCUCCACCA
rnacentral:tmRNA from 1 species